UACGUAGGGGGCAAGCGUUGUCCGGAAUCAUUGGGCGUAAAGAGCGUGUAGGCGGCUUGGUAAGUCCGCUGUGAAAGUCCAGGGCUCAACCCUGGAAUGCCGGUGGAAACUGUCAAGCUUGAGUCCGGAAGAGGCGAGUGGAAUUCCUGGUGUAGCGGUGAAAUGCGCAGAUAGUCAGGAGGAACACCAAUGGCGAAGGCAGCUCGCUGGGACGGUACUGACGCUGAGACGCGAAAGCGUGGGGAGCAAACAGG
rnacentral:rRNA from 1 species